rnacentral:tRNA from 1 species
GCCGAAGUGGCGGAACGGCAGACGCGCUACGUUCAGGGCGUAGUGGGGGAACCCCCGUGGGAGUUCAAAUCUCCCCUUCGGCACCA